rnacentral:rRNA from 1 species
GACGAACGCUGGCGGCGUGCCUAAUACAUGCAAGUCGAACGCAGUGGGGACGGUUGAGUAACACGUGGGUAACCUCCCAUCAGAGGGGAUAACACUUGGCAACAGGUGCUAAACCGAUACUGAUGGAUGGACUCGCGGUGCAUUAGCUAGUUGGUGAGGUAACGGCCCACCAAGGCCACGAUGCAUAGCCGACCUGAGAGGGUGAUCGGCCACACGGGGACUGAGACACGGUCCAGACUCCUACGGGAGGCAGCAGUAGGGAAUCUGCGGCAAUGGACGAAAGUCUGACCGAGCAACGCCGCGUGUGUGAAGAAGGUUUUCGGGUCGUAAAGCUCUGUUGUUAGAGAAGCGGGAUCUAACCAGGAAGCAACGGCUAACUACGUGCCAGCAGCCGCGGUAAUUC